rnacentral:rRNA from 1 species
AUGAACGCUGGCGGCGUGCCUAAUACCUGCAAGUCGAGCGAACGGACGAGAAGCUUGCUUCUCUGAUGUUAGCGGCGGACGGGUGAGUAACACGUGGAUAACCUACCUAUAAGACUGGGAUAACUUCGGGAAACCGGAGCUAAUACCGGAUAAUAUUUUGAACCGCAUGGUUCAAAAGUGAAAGACGGUCUUGCUGUCACUUAUAGAUGGAUCCGCGCUGCAUUAGCUAGUUGGUAAGGUAACGGCUUACCAAGGCAACGAUGCAUAGCCUACCUGAGAGGGUGAUCGGCCACACUGGAACUGAGACACGGUCCAGACUCCUACGGGAGGCAGCAGUAGGGAAUCUUCCGCAAUGGGCGAAAGCCUGACGGAGCAACGCCGCGUGAGUGAUGAAGGUCUUCGGAUCGUAAAACUCUGUUAUUAGGGAAGAACAUAUGUGUAAGUAACUGUGCACAUCUUGACGGUACCUAAUCAGAAAGCCACGGCUAACUACGUG